GGUAGCUGAUCCUACUGUUGAUGC
rnacentral:siRNA from 1 species